AAUUGAUCUGGGAGGUUGUGAUCUAGUAAGACUAGAAUCUCUACCCUUAACAGCAGAAAACACAUUAAGCAAUAUAUAAACCCAAAGAAGAAAGGUGUUUCAUAAGAGAAGACCAUCACUAAGCAGGGAAAUAACACUCAUCAGUGUAUUCCCUACAUCACCAGCAGUAAUGAAAACUCUUCUGUUUUGUUCUUCUGCUUUCAUGACAUUUUUCUAGUUUGUCUUUUCAGAUUGAAAAAAAAAAAUGGGUUUGUUUGGAAUAACCUGGCUUCUGUGGCUCCUGCUUGUGGUGAACACUAAGAAAAAGGUGUCUCCAAUUCCUCUAGGAAGACUUUUUCACUUUCAUCAUUUGGCCACUCUAUGUAUGUCUCACAAGACCAGUCACUGCCAGAUCUAAAAGAUAGGGACAUAUGCACAUGUCUUUAUAAGAUUGUAGCUCCUUAAGGGGAAGGUUAUCACAUUUAUCUUGCCUUCCCACAGUACCUACCACAGAGUUUUGCACAUAACUCACUAAAUUCAGUGGAGGUAUGCACUACAGAGAAGCUUACAAAUAAUCCUCCUUGCACAACAUUUGUGCUUCAAAGGUAUGCUUUCUUUUCAGAGAUUUGUAAAAUAUACUGCAAUGUGUUGCCCCUGUCCAUGGUAUCUUUUGGGAAUAAGAGAAAAUAAAGGGAUGCCUGGGUGGCUCAGUUGGUUAAGAGACAGCUUUUGGCUCAGGUCAUGGUCCCAGGGUCCUAGGAUCGAGCCCUGCAUCAGGCUUCCUGUUCGGAGGGAUGCCUGCUUCUCCCUCUCCCACUCCCCCUGUUUGUGUUCCCUCUCUCGCUCUCUCUCGUCAAUUAAAUAAAUAAAUAAAAUCUUAAAAAAAAAGAGAGAGAGAGAAAAUAAAAUUUUUAUUUCAUUGAAAAAGUGGUUGUCAACUUAUAAGUAUUAAUCCCUGCUUUGUUCGCUUGAUGUUUUUAAGUACCAUUUUAGAUGUCAGGAACACAAAAAAGUAACUUGUCCUUUGUGGCCUUAUAAUAUAAUUAGGAAGGUAGACUGCAUUCAUACAUGUGAAAAAAAUACAUAGUGAUAUAGGAUAUCAUGUAGAAAUUGCUGAUGGAAGGAAGAAAAUAGUGCCACCAGAGUUCAGAUGAGAAAGAAGACACUGAAGACUGAGGCACUGGAACUACUGAAAAGAGCAAAGCAUAUAUGGCUUGUGGAUUCAUGGCACACAGUCUGUAGAGGACCAAUAAUGCCAGGAUAGGCAAAGUACUUCUCUGCCCUGACCAGCCCAUGGAGAUUCAAGAUAACUGCCUCCUUCUCCAGUCACAUAAACAAUUCUCGUGCACUGUGUAUCUCAUCUGGAGCAGAUCAUCUCGUGUCUCUUGUUAUAAUGAUUUAUAAACAUGUUUCAGCCCUUCUCCACUUGAUUUUUCUUUCACUUGAUUUUAGGGUUUUUUUUAUAGCAGAAACUGGAUCUUAUUUGUCUUUGUAUCUCUUACAGUAACUAUCAAAGUAUAUUACAAAUAACUCCAUAGGAUGUUCUUAAAAAUUGAAUGGGUUUUCUUCUGGGUCAGAAGAGUGAUCAAGAACAAGUAGAAGGCAGAUUUUUUUUUU